rnacentral:rRNA from 1 species
ACGCUAGCGGCAGGCCUAAUACAUGCAAGUCGAACGAUACUCUUUAGCUUGCUAAGGAGAAAAGUGGCGCACGGGUGCGUAACGCGUAUGCAACCUACCUUAAUCAGGGGGAUAGCCCGAAGAAAUUCGGAUUAACACCGCAUAGAAUCACAGUACAGCAUUGUACAAUGAUCAAAUAUUUAUAGGAUUAAGAUGGGCAUGCGUGACAUUAGUUAGUUGGCGGGGUAACGGCCCACCAAGACCACGAUGUCUAGGGGAUCUGAGAGGAUGACCCCCCACACUGGUACUGAGACACGGACCAGACUCCUACGGGAGGCAGCAGUAAGGAAUAUUGGUCAAUGGAGGCAACUCUGAACCAGCCAUGCCGCGUGCAGGAAGACAGCCCUCUGGGUCGUAAACUGCUUUUAUUCGGGAAUAAACCUACUUACGUGUGAGUAGCUGAAUGUACCGAAGGAAUAAGGAUCGGCUAACUCCGUGCCAGUAGCCGCGGUAAUACGGAGGAUCCAAGCGUUAUCCGGAUUUAUUGGGUUUAAAGGGUGCGUAGGCGGCUUUUUAAGUCAGGGGUGAAAGACGGUGGCUCAACCAUCGCAGUGCCCUUGAUACUGAAGAGCUUGAAUGAAUUAGAGGUAGGCGGAAUGUGACAAGUAGCGGUGAAAUGCAUAGAUAUGUCACAGAACACCGAUUGCGAAGGCAGCUUACUAUGAUUUUAUUGACGCUGAGGCACGAAAGCGUGGGGAUCAAAC